AAGAUAAUUGAAUAAGCUGAAGCCGGUUACAUUAGAUUGAUUUCAUGCACAGAGACUAAAAGUAGCUUGGUCAUGUAAUAAAAGGUUCGGCUUAAAUCUUUUAGGGUAUAAGACUUAGUUUGGAAAAUAAUACUUUUGAUUGGCCUCAAGGAUCCAAGGUUCGAAAAGUGGCCCCCUCGUUAGAAGGGAUCUUAUGUCGUUCAUCAAUUCCAAUUCAGAGGUGUUCAUAGAUUAACAAACUU
rnacentral:lncRNA from 1 species